rnacentral:tRNA from 1 species
UCCCAGAUGGCUUAGUGGUAAAGCAUAUGCCUGCCAAGCAGGAGAUGCAGGAGAUGUGGGUUCAAUCCCUGGGUUGGGAA